rnacentral:misc_RNA from 1 species
GCGGAAACCAUUAUUAAAAUUCUAUCAGCCAAAUUAAUCAGGACCUUCUAAGCAAUAGGAUAAUUACCUAUUGCAGUAAGUAUAAGAAUUUCCACACACAUUCAAAAAGUUAUUACAAUAGGAAAAUUAUCAGCCAUGAGAUGACAGGUUAUUGCCCAAACCCAGAAGUAAGCAGGUGCAUGUUCUUCCAUCUAGAUAACAUUAAGCUAAUACAAAAAGCAACACAUUUCUUAUCCAAUUACCUCUGGCAAGGACCCUACCACUGAACAAGUUAAACACACAUUUCAUGUAAGACUCUAAAUCACAAGUUGCAGGCCUGACUGAUAAAUCAUUAAACUGAAAUAUCAGUUUCCUAGGCCACUGAUAUAUUUCUGCAAAAAGAUUGAUUCUC